GACGAACGCUGGCGGCGUGCCUAAUACGUGCAAGUUGAGCGCUGAAGGUUGGUACUUGUACCAACUGGAUGAGCAGCGAACGGGUGAGUAACGCGUGGGGAAUCUGCCUUUGAGCGGGGGACAACAUUUGGAAACGAAUGCUAAUACCGCAUAAAAACUUUAAACACAAGUUUUAAGUUUGAAAGAUGCAAUUGCAUCACUCAAAGAUGAUCCCGCGUUGUAUUAGCUAGUUGGUGAGGUAAAGGCUCACCAAGGCGAUGAUACAUAGCCGACCUGAGAGGGUGAUCGGCCACAUUGGGACUGAGACACGGCCCAAACUCCUACGGGAGGCAGCAGUAGGGAAUCUUCGGCAAUGGACGAAAGUCUGACCGAGCAACGCCGCGUGAGUGAAGAAGGGUUUCGGAUCGUAAAACUCUGUUGGUAGAGAAGAACGUUGGUGAGAGUGGAAAGCUCAUCAAGUGACGGUAACUACCCAGAAAGGGACGGCUAACUACGUG
rnacentral:rRNA from 1 species